rnacentral:lncRNA from 1 species
GUUGCUAUAAAAAAAUAAUGGUUGCAAACAAUAAUAGGGUGUUAUAAUACACAAUAUUACAAUACCGGGAGUCUAUAUUGUUUGCUGAACAUUUGAGGGACCAACAGUCUCACAUACAUUCCUCCUAAUAAGCACCUAUUAUCCCCCACUCGACAUCUAAAAUUCCAAAUGAUCAAAAUAGCAAAAUCAUUGAUAGCUUUGUUCUCACUGUUCAACUUCUGCAAAAUCAUAUAAAGUGAACAUUAAAGCUAUAUAAAUUAACCAAAGCAUGCCAAAUAAAAGUACAAUGCUAUAAUAGUAAUCAUUUUGAAAGUAUAAUGCCUAUAAAGGAAAUGAAAGUAAUAAACAAACUCAAAACCAAAUACAUUCAUUAUUUAUAAAAUUCGAAAUAAAAAUAAAAAAUUACAAUCUUCCUCUAAUAAACUCAAUACACUUUCAUGCAUCUUGCAUGUCCUUAUAUCUUACCAAAACAGUAUUAUAAUAAUUUAUCUUAAGGAUACAAUCACUAAUAUUAGGGACAAAAAAUGAGUUUGAUAAUCUAAAAAUUUUGAGCCCCAUAAAAGCUUGCAACUUACAUCAUUCACUAUUGAGUCACAUGAAACUCAUGUUUGCUUUAUUAUAUUCCUAUAUUUAUAUCAUAUCAUAAUGUAUUAUACCUCUUCAAGCAUGGAACCACACUCAAAAGUGAGAGGAAUGUGAUUCAAAAGCAGACGAUACCAUGCUGGAUUAAUGAGCAUAAUCUCUCAUAGCAAUAGAAGUCUUUUGUAGAUCAACUGGUGCAAACAACAACUAAAAUCAUGACAUUUGUAAGAAAAAGGCGAGUCUGGUCACUCAUGCACUUUCAGUAAUAGAUUUAAGCCUUAUUUGGCUUGGAAUUUAGGGUAACUUACCAAAAAUGGAGCUGGAAUUAUAACCUGGAAACCAAUAAAUAUUAAUUUUUUCUUACAGAAAUCAUAAAAAAAACGAAACACAUCUAUACUCAGACCUCGUCUCCUAGGGAACAAAUAGCAAGAAAUGCUUGUAGUAAACUCUGUUUUGCCCCAUGACUAACCACAAUUUCAUCAGGUGUAUAAGGAAUAUGAUUCUCCUCUAGAAGAAAUAAAAGAAAAAUAUUUAAGAAAUCAUCAUUAACAUUUAUAUCCGAAAACUCAAAAGGAUUAAAAUUUCAUUUGAUCUUACCCUUAAAUUUCUUGCAUAUUGUUGUUUGCAGUUCAUGGGUACCUGCAUUAAAUGUAUACCUUGUGUAACCUUCAGGAACUGCAUUUUUUCUAGCCUAUUUUUAACAAAAAAUAUAUAUUAAUCAAGGUUUGAACAACUAUUAGCUAUAGCAAUGAAAAGAAUGGAUUGAAUCGAGGAAAUAACUCUUGAAAUCAGCACGUACGUCAGCGAUAAUAGCCGGGGUGUGAAAAUCAGAUUCUCCAGUAGCCAAACGAAUGACAGGAACACCUGCUUCUACAAUGCAAUUAAAAUGAGUUGAAGGCACUAACCAUUAUGAAUUGAACUAUUUUGGUACUUGGUUAACUAUUAGUGUCUGAUACAUACACAAAAAUGAUCAAAUUUGAAGUGAAAUUGUGUCAUGUUUGACUAAUUAAUGAAUUGGUGAAAAUUGCGUAUAUGUAGAUGAAAGACGAAUCAAAUGGGAUUACUAACUGUGAAAUUAGAAAUCAAAACAUAAAUCACCUACAAAAGCACAUGUAUUUCAAUUAGAGCUUCAUACAGAUGGGAAAAGAAACAUGUGAUGAAUUGAUUUAGUGAAUAGCUCUGUCUCUUUUCUUUUUCAGAGUAGUAGAACUAAAAAAAGCCCUAAAAUCAAAUAAAAAAUGUAGAUUUGUAAUCCAAAGAACACUUAGCUCGAUAGCAAACGAACGUGAAGUCUGGAAGCACAUUACAUCACCCAAAAAAGGCAUCAGUUCCUCUCAGUCGACCUUCCUUUCCAACGAAUCGACCUCUCACUUUGUACUCUGAUACUUCAGUCGUCGAGGUGGUAGAAUAAACCAAGCCCGAUGAGUUAAACCAUGCCGAUUGCAAUGUAUGAGAGAAUAUGAGAAAGGGGUGUGUUGUGUCGGUGGAUGAAACCCAAAUGGUGGAGCAAGGUUCGGAAAAAAAUUACCUGUUGGUCGUCCUUGUGGAUGUUGUGAUGGUAGAGUAGAAGGUGAAAAGAGACGGUGAAGAAGACGAUAAGUGAAGGUGGAUUGGAACGGAAAUCGUUAAUAAUAGAGGGGUAAUAAACCUUAGAGCGAAAGGAGAUUAUCAUUCAAUCGGUUUAGAAAAGUGGCAGGAUGGAGCUGAAAUAGAUACAAGAAGAGGUGAAGAGGUGGCGGUGGCACUAAUCUGAUUUCUAUAGACUUCUAAAACACGGGGCUGAGGCAGCGGAAGAUAUGUGGGGGCAAUAUGAAGAUCUUGACUAACAAAAUGGGCAUAUAAUAGCGGGUUGGCCCAAAACAAUUGGUUAUGUAGCCAGGCGGUGGAGCACAUCGACGGAUGAUUUACAGAAUUAAAACGAAAAGGGUAAGAUUCGCAUUGAAGGGAUGCAGAAGGAAAAAGAAGCGGUGGAAGCUCUACGAAACAAUAGCAGUGGGAAGAGAUACAAUUGAGGGUGAGUGAGCAAGGAGAUGCAGAAGAAAAGAAAAGGGAAGAAGCCACGUAUCUGUGUGUUAGAAGCUUGGCGG